GCCGCGGCGAGGCGCGAGGUCAAGCCGGCGUCCGUAAGAAUCACGAUGCAGAGAACAGACUGGGGUAUGGGAAGCUGCGGCUAGCAGACCUAAGCUUCUAUGUAUGUCGACGGGACGGGCGGACAAUACAGCCCUACUGCUCAGCAGAGACGGCGACAUUCCUACUGCUCAGCAGAGACGGCGACAUUCAGUGUUCUGUGGAAGCCAUGAUGGAAAAGCGUAAAAAGAGAACAUCUGCUUGCGGGUGACGGAGUCAGUUUGCUGCAAGGCAGUAACGAGCGCGACACUGUAAAUCAGCUCUACUUCAACGAAGAAACAGAGAUUCGUUUUGUCAUAAAAUAUGGGUUUUAUUUCAUCACACUGA